AGAGUUUGAUCCUGGCUCAGGAUGAACGCUAGCUACAGGCUUAACACAUGCAAGUCGAGGGGCAGCAUGAACUUAGCUUGCUAAGUUUGAUGGCGACCGGCGCACGGGUGAGUAACACGUAUCCAACCUGCCGAUGACUCGGGGAUAGCCUUUCGAAAGAAAGAUUAAUACCCGAUGGCAUAGUUCUUCCGCAUGGUAGAACUAUUAAAGAAUUUCGGUCAUCGAUGGGGAUGCGUUCCAUUAGGUUGUUGGCGGGGUAACGGCCCACCAAGCCUUCGAUGGAUAGGGGUUCUGAGAGGAAGGUCCCCCACAUUGGAACUGAGACACGGUCCAAACUCCUACGGGAGGCAGCAGUGAGGAAUAUUGGUCAAUGGGCGAGAGCCUGAACCAGCCAAGUAGCGUGAAGGAUGACUGCCCUAUGGGUUGUAAACUUCUUUUAUAAAGGAAUAAAGUCGGGUAUGCAUACCCGUUUGCAUGUACUUUAUGAAUAAGGAUCGGCUAACUCCGUGCCAGCAGCCGCGGUAAUACGGAGGAUCCGAGCGUUAUCCGGAUUUAUUGGGUUUAAAGGGAGCGUAGAUGGAUGUUUAAGUCAGUUGUGAAAGUUUGCGGCUCAACCGUAAAAUUGCAGUUGAUACUGGAUAUCUUGAGUGCAGUUGAGGCAGGCGGAAUUCGUGGUGUAGCGGUGAAAUGCUUAGAUAUCACGAAGAACUCCGAUUGCGAAGGCAGCCUGCUAAGCUGCAACUGACAUUGAGGCUCGAAAGUGUGGGUAUCAAACAGGAUUAGAUACCCUGGUAGUCCACACGGUAAACGAUGAAUACUCGCUGUUUGCGAUAUACAGCAAGCGGCCAAGCGAAAGCGUUAAGUAUUCCACCUGGGGAGUACGCCGGCAACGGUGAAACUCAAAGGAAUUGACGGGGGCCC
rnacentral:rRNA from 1 species